UCUUGUACACACCGCCCGUCACACCAUGGGAGUCGGGAAUGCCCGAAGUCGGUGACCCAACCGUUUACGGAGGGAGCUGCCGAAGGCAGGGUCUGGUGACUGGGGUGAAGUCGUAACAAGGUAAC
rnacentral:rRNA from 1 species